rnacentral:miRNA from 1 species
CUUUGGAGCGCAGCGGGAACUCCUGCUGUGCUCCGAAGGCUUGCGGAUAGCUGCCUGAAGCCCCCGGAGCGCAGCGGGAGUUCCCGCUGCGCUCCGGGG